UUCGAAGGGGGCUAGCGUUGCUCGGAAUCACUGGGCGUAAAGCGCACGUAGGCGGAUUGCCAAGUCGGGGGUGAAAUCCUGGAGCUCAACUCCAGAACUGCCUUCGAUACUGGCGAUCUUGGAGUCCGGGAGAGGUGAGUGGAACUGCGAGUGUAGAGGUGAAAUUCGUAGAUAUUCGCAAGAAGACCAGUGGCGAAGGCGGCUCACUGGCCCGGUACUGACGCUGAGGUGCGAAAGCGUGGGGAGCAAACAGC
rnacentral:rRNA from 1 species